UCACUGGUCUCAUCACCCCAAAUCAAACCCAGGCAUAAAUGAGACAUUGCAUAAUUAAUCUUUAACUUCUCCAACACGUAAUUUCUCUUCAGUGUUCCUCUAUGCAUUGUUACAAUGUACAGAGAAGCACUGUUCUCAAAAAAAGCCAUUUCCCCAUUGAUAAUCUUCAGUUUUAUAUUUUGUUAGCUUCCCAGGAAGAAAAGGCCAAUGUGACCACCUUCCAUUCUCUAUACUGUACAAUGGAUUCCUAAACACAAUGUUUUUGUUGUUUUUUAAAUUUUGUUUAUAUUUUUCAAUAAGCAGUGAAGGCAGGCUGAUUCUUUUUCCUAAAAAGCAAUUUUAGU
rnacentral:lncRNA from 1 species